GUCCACGCCGUAAACGGUGGGUGCUAGGUGUGAGCGGUAUUCCACGCCGUUCGUGCCGCAGCUAACGCAUUAAGCACCCCGCCUGGGGAGUACGGCCGCGAGGCUAAAACUCAAAGGAAUUGACGGGGGCCCCGCACAAGCAGCGGAGCAUGUGGCUUAAUUCGACGCAACGCGAAGAACCUUACCAAGGCUUGACAUGCAGGGAAAUCCUCCAGAGAUGGGGGGUCCGCAAGGGUCCUGCACAGGUGGUGCAUGGUUGUCGU
rnacentral:rRNA from 1 species